rfam:Tursiops truncatus cont1.400945, whole genome shotgun sequence.
UGCCCUUGGCUCCCAUGUCGCCUGGAUCCAACUUCCCCUAACUGAAAACCGCCUCAUAUUCCCCCGGGCCCAUGGGCAGCUCCAGAGGACUGAGCCGUAUGCUCUGUGG